rnacentral:rRNA from 1 species
CACCGCGGUUAUACGAGAGGCUCAAAUUGACACUCUCCGGCGUAAAGCGUGAUUAGAGACAAAACAAUACUAAGGCAAAACACCCCUUAAGCCGUCAUACGCUAAUGGGAAAACGAGGCCCUACAACGAAAGUGGCCUUAAAUAAACUUGAACUCACGACCAUUAAGAAA